rnacentral:ncRNA from 3 species
GUCGCUGGUUCGAUUCCGG